UGUUUAUAUGAAUUAUUUGAUCAGUUUAUCUCUGUCUAUUUAUGUUUGUGUAAACACAGGUUCAUCAGUAUUACAGCUUUUUCCCAGAGGAUAAGGUUCCUUAUGUCAACAGCAUUGGUGAAAAGCAUCGGAUCAAGCAACUCCUUCAACAACUGCCACCGCAUGACAAUGAGGUUCGUUACUGUACCUCACUGGAUGAAGAAGAAAAGCGGGAAUUAAAGAUCUUCAGUAACCAGCGAAAGCGAGACAAUCUAGGCAGAGGCACUGUUCGACCUCUACCCCUCACUGUAACUGGAGCUAUAUGUGAACAGUGUGGAGACCAGAUCAACGGUGGUGACAUUGCAGUGUUUGCCUCACGGGUUGGCCAUGGCCUGUGUUGGCACCCUCACUG